UAAAUGGAUUAUCUUAUAUAUAAAAUAUGAUGUUUUAUUCAUGCAUAGUAAUUUAAUUUUAUUAAAUUAAUAUAUAUAAGUUUUUGCGGGAUUAAUUAUUAUUUAAAUAAUAUAUUAUCUUUUAAUCUUAGUUUUUAAUUUUAAUUAUUUAUGAAAAAAUUAAUUAUUUAUAAUAUAUUUUUAUAACAAAAAUUGUGCCAGCAGUUGCGGUUACACAAUUAUAAGUAUUAAAUUAUUUUGGUUUAUAUUAAAUUUAUAUUUAUAUAAUUACAUAAAUAUUUUUUUGGUGAAAUAUUAAUUGUUUUUAAUUUAUUUUGAAUUAUAAUAUAUGAAAGUUAUCUUUAGACUAGGAUUAGAUACCCUAUUAUUUUAACUGUAAAUUAAUAACCUAACCAUUAUUAGAUAUAAUCUUUACAUUUAAAGGAUUUGGCGGUAAUUUAGCUGUUCAGAGGAACCUGUCCUGUAAUUGAUAAUCCACAAUAAAUUUUACUUUUAUUUUGUUUAUAUAUCUCUAUCAUUGAAUGUCUUUUAAGGGUUAAAGAUUUUCUAGCUGAUUUUUUAGUCAAAAUGUUAGGUCAAGGUUUAAUAAUAUAAAAGUAGAGAUGGGUUACAUUAUUUAUAUAUGAGGAAAUAUAUAUGGAAAUAUAUUGGAAUUUGGAUUUGAUAGUAAAUUUUCUUAAAAAAGAAUUUUGAUACUAGCUCUAUAUUAUGCACACAUCGCCCGUCGCUCUCAAUAUAUAUUGAGAUAAGUCGUAACAAAGUAGAUCUAUUGGAAAAUGGAUCUAGAAUGAUUA
rnacentral:ncRNA from 1 species